rnacentral:rRNA from 1 species
AGUAAAUAGAUACCCCCGGUAGUCCACGCCGUAAACGAUGUCGACUUGGAGGUUGUGCCCUUGAGGCGUGGCUUCCGGGCUAAAACGCGUUAAAGUCGACCGCCUGGGGAGUACGGCCGCAAGGUUAAAACUCAAAUGAAUUGACGGGGGCCCGCACAAGCGGUGGAGCAUGUGGUUUAAUUCGAUGCAACGCGAAGAACCUUACCUACUCUUGACAUCCAGAGAACUUAGCAGAGAUGCUUUGGUGCCUUCGGGAACUCUGAGACAGGUGCUGCAUGGCUGUCGUCAGCUCGUGUUGUGAAAUGUUGGGUUAAGUCCCGCAACGAGCGCAACCCUUAUCCUUGUUGCCAGCGGUUAGGCCGGGAACUCAAAGGAGACUGCCAGUGAUAAACUGGAGGAAGGUGGGGAUGACGUCAAGUCAUCAUGGCCCUUACGAGUAGGCUACACACGUGCUACAAUGGCGCAUACAAAGAGAAGCGACCUCGCGAGAGCAAGCGGACCUCAUAAAGUGCGUCGUAGUCCGG